GAUGAAGAACGCAGCGAAAUGCGAUAAGUAAUGUGAAUUGCAGAAUUCAGUGAAUCAUCGAAUCUUUGAACGCACAUUGCGCCCGCCAGUAUUCUGGCGGGCAUGCCUGUUCGAGCGUCAUUUCAACCAUCAAGCCCCAGGCUUGUGUUGGGGACCUGCGGCUGCCGCAGGCCCUGAAAACCAGUGGCGGGCUCGCUGUCACUCCGGGCGUAGUAGAUUUUAUCUCGCUCAGGGCGUGCUGCGGGUUCCGGCCGUUAAAAAGCCUUUUUUACCCAAGGUUGACCUCGGAUCAGGUAGGAAGACCCGCUGAACUUAAGCAUAUCAAUAAGCGGAGGA
rnacentral:misc_RNA from 1 species